GGAAGAGAGCCAUUAAAGCUUAGUCAAGUUUCGGCCAUAUUCAAGCUUAAAUUCAAGAUCAAGAAUUAAAGAAAACAGAUUUGGAUCGGGGAAAGACAAAGGUGGUCGAGUAGCUGAUUUAAUGGUCAACGACAUCCGAGACUUAAAGAUCAAGCUUCAAGCUCGGGGAUUGUCGAUAAGUUCAUCACCCUAUCUAUUAUUUCGGUAUUUAAAAUAUUAAAUUCUAACUAUGGCAUGUAUAGACUAGAUAAAUGUUUUGAAGGUUG